GACGGAGGGUGCAAGCGUUGCUCGGAAUCACUGGGCGUAAAGGGUGCGUAGGCGGCCUGGUAAGUCUGGCGUGAAAGCCCAGGGCUCAGCCCUGGAAGGGCGCUAGAAACUGCGAGGCUCGAGUGCCGGAGGGGAGAGUGGAAUUCCUGGUGUAGCGGUGAAAUGCGUAGAUAUCAGGAAGAACACCCGUGGCGAAGGCGGCUCUCUGGGACGGUACUGACGCUGAGACGCGAAAGCGUGGGGAGCGAACAGG
rnacentral:rRNA from 1 species